GACGAACGCUGGCGGCGCGCUUAACACAUGCAAGUCGAACGGAAAGGCCUGCUUUCCCUUGUGGAUUGCGGGUACUCGAGUGGCGAACGGGUGAGUAACACGUGAGUGAUCUGCCCCCAACUUUGGUAUAAGCCUGGGAAACUGGGUCUAAUUCCCGAUAGGACUGCAGGGUGGUGCCUGUGGUGGAAAACGAUUUUCUAGUGGUUGGGGAUGAGCUCGCGGCCUAUCAGCUUGUUGGUGGGGUAAUGGCCUGCCAAGGCGGCGACGGGUAGCCGGCCUGAGAGGGUGGACGGCAACAUUAGGACUGGGAUACGGCCCAGACACGUGAGGGAGGAAGCAGUGGGGAAUAUUGAACAAUGGGCGGAAGCCUGAUGCAGCGACGCCGCGUGGGGGAUGACGGACUUCGGGUUGUAAACUCCUUUCGACCGCGAGGAAGCCACCUGGUUGGAAGGGUGGUGACGGUAGUGGUAGAAGAAGCACCGGCUAACUACGUG
rnacentral:rRNA from 1 species